rnacentral:rRNA from 1 species
UACGAAGGGAGCUAGCGUUGUUCGGAAUCACUGGGCGUAAAGCGCACGUAGGCGGAUGUGUCAGUCAGGGGUGAAAUCCCGGAGCUCAACUUCGGAACUGCCUUUGAUACAGCACGUCUUGAGUCCGAUAGAGGUGGGUGGAAUUCCUAGUGUAGAGGUGAAAUUCGUAGAUAUUAGGAAGAACACCGAUUGCGAAGGCAGCUUACUAGACUGUAACCUGACGCUGAGGCACGAAAGCGUGGGGAGCGAACAGG